GUCCACGCCGUAAACGAUGGGUGCUAGGUGUCGCGGGCUUUGACCCCUGCGGUGCCGUAGCUAACGCAUUAAGCACCCCGCCUGGGGAGUACGGCCGCAAGGCUAAAACUCAAAGGAAUUGACGGGGGCCCGCACAAGCGGUGGAGCAUGUGGUUCAAUUCGACGCAACGCGCAGAACCUUACCUGGGCUAGAAAAUGCAGGGACCUGGUUGAAAAAUCGGGGUGCCUUUCGGGGAACCUGUAGUUAGGUGCUGCAUGGCUGUCGU
rnacentral:rRNA from 1 species